rnacentral:rRNA from 1 species
UAGGGAAUCUUCCGCAAUGGACGCAAGUCUGACGGAGCAACGCCGCGUGAGUGAAGAAGGAUUUCGGUUCGUAAAACUCUGUUGUUAGAGAAGAACAGCGCAUAGAGUAACUGUUAUGCGUGUGACGGUAUCUAACCAGAAAGCCACGGCUAACUACGUGCCAGCAGCCGCGGUAUUACGUAGGUGGCAAGCGUUGUCCGGAUUUAUUGGGCGUAAAGCGAGCGCAGGCGGUCAAUUAAGUCUGAUGUGAAAGCCCCCGGCUCAACCGGGGAGGGUCAUUGGAAACUGGUUGACUUGAGUGCAGAAGAGGAGAGUGGAAUUCCAUGUGUAGCGGUGAAAUGCGUAGAUAUAUGGAGGAACACCAGUGGCGAAGGCGACUCUCUGGUCUGUAACUGACGCUGAGGCUCGAAAGCGUGGGUAGCAAACAGG